rnacentral:rRNA from 1 species
UACGGGGGGGGCAAGCGUUGUUCGGAAUUACUGGGCGUAAAGGGCGCGUAGGCGGCCUGCUAAGUCGGAUGUGAAAUCCCUCGGCUCAACCGGGGAACUGCAUCCGAUACUGGUGGGCUUGAAUCCGGGAGAGGGAUGCAGAAUUCCAGGUGUAGCGGUGAAAUGCGUAGAUAUCUGGAGGAAUACCGGUGGCGAAGGCGGCAUCCUGGACCGGCAUUGACGCUGAGGAGCGAAAGCCAGGGGAGCAAACGGG